GCCCAGACUCCUACGGGAGGCAGCAGUGGGGAAUAUUGCACAAUGGGGGGAACCCUGAUGCAGCGACGCCGCGUGAGUGAAGAAGUAUUUCGGUAUGUAAAGCUCUAUCAGCAGGGAAGAAAAUGACGGUACCUGACUAAGAGGCCCCGGCUAACUACGUGCCAGCAGCCGCGGUAAUACGGAGGAUGCGAGCGUUAUCCGGAUUUAUUGGGUUUAAAGGGUGCGCAGGGGGUCUGUUAAGUCAGCGGUCAGAGCGCGGGGCCCACCCCGGGCCCGCCGUUGAAACUGGCAGUCUCGAGUUGGAGAGAAGUAUGCGGAAUGCGCGGUGUAGCGGUGAAAUGCAUAGAUAUCGCGCAGAACUCCGAUUGCGAAGGCAGCAUGCCGGCUCCACACUGACGCUGAGGCACGAAAGCGUGGGUAUCGAACAGGAUUAGAUACCCCCGUAU
rnacentral:rRNA from 1 species